rnacentral:rRNA from 1 species
UACGUAGGGGCUAGCGUUAUCCGGAAUUACUGGGCGUAAAGGGUGCGUAGGUGGUUUCUUAAGUCAGAGGUGAAAGGCUACGGCUCAACCGUAGUAAGCCUUUGAAACUGGGAAACUUGAGUGCAGGAGAGGAGAGUGGAAUUCCUAGUGUAGCGGUGAAAUGCGUAGAUAUUAGGAGGAACACCAGUUGCGAAGGCGGCUCUCUGGACUGUGACUGACACUGAGGCACGAAAGCGUGGGGAGCAAACAGGAUUAGAUACCCGCGUAGUCCCUGAG